CACGGGCUGACAUCCCCGGGUAGCAAAGGGAAUGCUCCGCUUUCCUGGGGGCUGCAGGGUGGGAGGGAUGUGCAUGUGCCCGACUGGUGCUGACCCCUAGCCAGGGCAUUUUGGGGUUAUUUUUCCCCAGAGCUUCCAGCGCCGGGCAAUGAUUUGCCCCUCAUCAGCCCCUUUAAGGGCGAAGAUGCCAGCGGGAGAACUACAGCUGUAGAUCUGAGUGCUGCCGCCAGGAGACAACAGCCUGCCCAGGGUGCCGGUGGGAUCUGGGGAGAGGGAAGCAGUAGAUCUGCUGCCUGGUCCAGCGCACACCAGGCUGUCCUUUCUGGAGAGUGAAUGCUCAAACGACUUCAGAAGUUGAGGCAUGACCAGAGCUUACGAGCUGUCAGCAGGCUGAUGGACUGUCAGACCUAUUUCAGGAGCAAGACACAUGUCACACUGUCUUCUAUCCUAUAAUGUACAAAUUGCAUUUCAUGACAGCAAUAUAACACUCCUGAGAGCAAAUUUUGGCACAAUUAUCAUCCUUCUCAGGUCGUAAAAGUCACUCAGCUCUUGGCCACCUGUUUUAGAGCUGUCAGCCAAAGCCCCUUGCAACCUCCGCAGUGUCUGAACACCAUGAGAGAGCACACAUGAAUAUUAGCUCACAGAAAAUACGGAGUUAACGAGGAGAACACAUCAUGUGCCCAGUGAGAACGUUUUACAAAUUCCCCAUCCCAGACAGGAGCAGUUGUAGAGGAAGCACGUAUCUGCCUCAAUUUCCCACUUGAAAAAUAAAACCGGGAAUUUAUGAUAAGCA
rnacentral:lncRNA from 1 species